rnacentral:rRNA from 1 species
UUGUCCUUAGUUGCCAUCAUUUAGUUGGGCACUCUAAGGAGACUGCCGGUGUUAAACCGGAGAAGUGGGGAUGACGUCAAGUCCUCAUGGCCCUUAUGGGUAGGGCUUCACACGUCAUACAAUGGUCGGUACAGAGGGUUGCCAAGCCGCGAGGCGGAGCCAAUCCCACAAAGCCGAUCGUAGUCCGGAUUGUUCUCUGCAACUCGAGAGCAUGAAGUCGGAAUCGCUAGUAAUCGCAGGUCAGCAUACUGCGGUGAAUACGUUCCCGGGUCUU